UCAUCAAGCCAACAUCUCAAAAUGAGGUUCCCUGCUCAGCUCCUGGGGCUGCUAGUGCUUUGGUUCCCUGGAUCCAGUGGGGAUAUUGUGAUGACGCAGACCCCUCUGUCCCUGUCCGUCACCCCUGGAGAGCCAGCCUCAAUCUCCUGCAGGGCCAGUCAGAGCCUCCUGCACAGUGAUGGAAAUACUUAUCUGAAUUGGUACCUGCAGAAGCCAGGCCAGUCUCCACGGCGCCUGAUCUAUAAGGUUUCCAACAGGGACCCUGGGGUCCCAGACAGGUUCAGUGGCAGCGGGUCAGGGACAGAUUUCACCCUGAGAAUCAGCAGGAUGGAGGCUGACGACUUUGGAGUUUAUUACUGCGGUCAAGCUUUACAGUAUCCUCCCACAGUGGUUAAACUUUGA